GAUGAACGCUGGCGGCGUGCUUAACACAUGCAAGUCGAACGGAAAGGCCCAAGCUUGCUUGGGUACUCGAGUGGCGAACGGGUGAGUAACACGUGGGUGAUCUGCCCUGCACUUCGGGAUAAGCCUGGGAAACUGGGUCUAAUACUGGAUAGGACCACUUCUUGGAUGUUGUGGUGGAAAGUUUUUUCGGUGUGGGAUGAGCUCGCGGCCUAUCAGCUUGUUGGUGGGGUAAUGGCCUACCAAGGCGUCGACGGGUAGCCGGCCUGAGAGGGUGUACGGCCACAUUGGGACUGAGAUACGGCCCAGACUCCUACGGGAGGCAGCAGUGGGGAAUAUUGCACAAGGGGCGCAAGCCUGAUGCAGCGACGCCGCGGGGGGGAUGACGGCCUUCGGGUUGUAAACUCCUUUCGCUAGGGACGAAGCGUUUUGUGACGGUACCUGGAGAAGAAGCACCGGCUAACUACGUG
rnacentral:rRNA from 1 species